UUGGAGGGCAAGUCUGGUGCCAGCAGCCGCGGUAAUUCCAGCUCCAAUAGCGUAUAUUAAAGUUGUUGCAGUUAAAAAGCUCGUAGUUGUAUUUCGGGGUCAGUAGGUUGGUCAUGCCACUGGUAUGUACUGGUCUCACUGAUUCCUCCUUCCUGAUGAGCUGUAAUGCCAUUAAUUUGGUGUUGCGGGGAAUCUGGACUGUUACUUUGAAAAAAUUAGAGUGUUUAAAGCAGGCUAACGCUUGAAUACAUUAGCAUGGAAUAAUGAAAUAGGACGUUCGAUCCUAUUUUGUUGGUUUCUAGGAUUGACGUAAUGAUUAAUAGGGAUAGUUGGGGGCAUUAGUAUUCAAUUGUCAGAGGUGAAAUUCUUGGAUUUAUUGAAGACUAACUACUGCGAAAGCAUUUGCCAAGGAUGUUUUCAUUAAUCAAGAACGAAAGUUAGGGGAUCGAAGACGAUCAGAUACCGUCGUAGUCUUAACCAUAAACUAUGCCGACUAGGGAUCGGAUGAUGUUAAUUUUUUAAUGACUCAUUCGGCGCCUUACGGGAAAC
rnacentral:rRNA from 1 species